CCUACGGGUGGCAGCAGUGAGGAAUAUUGGUCAAUGGACGAGAGUCUGAACCAGCCAAGUAGCGUGAAGGAUGACUGCCCUAUGGGUUGUAAACUUCUUUUAUAAAGGAAUAAAACGAGGCACGUGUGCCCUUUUGCAUGUACUUUAUGAAUAAGGAUCGGCUAACUCCGUGCCAGCAGCCGCGGUAAUACGGAGGAUCCGAGCGUUAUCCGGAUUUAUUGGGUUUAAAGGGUGCGUAGAUGGGUUGUUAAGUCAGUUGUGAAAGUUUGCGGCUCAACCGUAAAAUUGCAAUUGAUACUGGCAGUCUUGAGUACGGUUGAGGUAAGCGGAAUGCGUGGUGUAGCGGUGAAAUGCUUAGAUAUCGCGAAGAACCCCGAUUGCGAAGGCAGCUUACUAAACUGUGACUGACAUUGAUGCUCGAAAGUGUGGGUAUCAAACAGGAUUAGAUACCCCUGUAGUC
rnacentral:rRNA from 1 species